UUGGAGGGCAAGUCUGGUGCCAGCAGCCGCGGUAAUUCCAGCUCCAAUAGCGUAUAUUAAAGUUGUUGCAGUUAAAAAGCUCGUAGUUGAAUUUCGGGAUCAGUACGCUGGUCGUGCCUUUGGUAUGUACUGGUGUCACUGAUUCCUCCCUUCUGAAGAACCGUUAUGCCAUUUAUUUGGUGUGGCGGGGAAUCAGGACUGUUACUUUGAAAAAACUAGAGUGUUUAAAGCAGGCUCGCGCUUGAAUACAUUAGCAUGGAAUAAUGUAAUAGGACGUUUGAUCUUAUUUUGUUGGUUUCUAGGAUCGACGUAAUGAUUAAUAGGGAUAGUUGGGGGCAUUAGUAUUCAAUUGUCAGAGGUGAAAUUCUUGGAUUUAUUGAAGACUAACUACUGCGAAAGCAUUUGCCAAGGAUGUUUUCAUUAAUCAAGAACGAAAGUUAGGGGAUCGAAGACGAUCAGAUACCGUCGUAGUCUUAACCAUAAACUAUGCCGACUAGGGAUCGGACGAUGUUAAUUUUUUAAUGACUCGUUCGGCGCCUUACGGGAAAC
rnacentral:rRNA from 1 species